rnacentral:lncRNA from 1 species
AUUGGCAUGCAUAAAUCCGUUGCUAGAAUAUAAGGGAAUUUCACAUAAUUGUUACAAACUUAUAUUCACAUGUAGUGAAGGUCGCUUAUAAACGAUCGCGUUAAGUUCAAUUCCUAGCAUAAGUGACAUGAUGUCAUAGUUGCAAGUUCUUUGUCAAUGCUUAUGAUUUUCAUUAAACGUAAUGAUCUUUGAUUGUAUCUCUAUUAUGAUGUCAUGUACGGAAUUUUUGAAGAAUGUUUUAGGUUGUCGAAUGAUGUCAUCCAAUCCAAUAAAACAAGGAAAAUCUGAGAGUAAACUAGUGAUGUCACGAUUAAUUUGGAGCAUUGUUGUUCAUAAUUCAAUGAAGUAGUAACUGGAAAUCGAGUUAUUUGCAUACAUGUCAUGUGUGGAGAAAAAGCCUCUAGCUAUUCCAUCCAUCAUCUUAUAAAGCCUCUAGCUAUUCCAUCCAUCAUCUUAUUUCUCACAUUCGUUUUACAAUGUGUCUAGUUUUUCAUACUUGUUUGUUUGUUACAACUUCAUCCAAAUCAAAACCCCCCCUUUUAGUUUCUUGUUUCAAAGUGUUUCAAAUCUGUUUUAGUUUGUG